UACGUAGGGGGCGAGCGUUGUCCGAAUUUACUGGGCGUAACGCGCGCGUAGGCGGCUAUUUAAGUCUGGGGUGAAAGGUUCGACGCUCAACGUGAACAGUGCCUUGGAUACUGGGUGGCUUGAGUCUGGGAGAGGGUAGUGGAAUUCCUGGGGUAGCGGUGAAAUGCGUAGAUAGCAGGAGGAACACCGGUGGCGAAGGCGGCUACCUGGCCUAAGACUGACGCUGAGGUGCGAAAGCGUGGGGAGCGAACGGG
rnacentral:rRNA from 1 species